rnacentral:rRNA from 1 species
CUACGGGCCGCUGCAGACGAGAAAACUUUGCAAUGUGCGAAAGCACGACAAGGUUAAUCCGAGUGGUUUCUGCUAAAGGAACCUUUUGUCGGUCCUAGAAACACCGAUGAAUAAGGGGUGGGCAAGUUCUGGUGUCAGCCGCCGCGGUAAAACCAGCACCUCAAGUGGUCAGGAUGAUUAUUGGGCCUAAAGCAUCCGUAGCCGGCUCUGUAAGUUUUCGGUUAAAUCUGUAUGCUCAACAUACAGGCUGCCGGGAAUACUGCAUAGCUAGGGAGUGGGAGAGGUAGACGGUACUCGGUAGGAAGGGGUAAAAUCCUUUGAUCUAUUGAUGACCACCUGUGGCGAAGGCGGUCUACCAGAACACGUCCGACGGUGAGGGUUGAAAGCUGGGGGAGCAAACCGGAUUAGAUACCCGUGUAGUC